ACAACGACUCUCGGCAACGGAUAUCUCGGCUCUCGCAUCGAUGAAGAACGUAGCGAAAUGCGAUACUUGGUGUGAAUUGCAGAAUCCCGUGAACCAUCGAGUCUUUGAACGCAAGUUGCGCCCAAAGCUUCGGCUGAGGGCACGUCUGCCUGGGUGUCACGC
rnacentral:rRNA from 1 species